CCCUGGAAACACGCCCCUUUAAAAGCAGCGGCGGCGCCGUCUCCGGAACGCUGAAGGGUUGGGAGGACCCUGAGGGGUGGUCCGCCGUGACUUCUCCGGGCGUCCUGGUGACGUUGCAGGUAGACAGGCGUUUCCGGUGUGAAACCUCAGGGAGGCGCUGUGCCUCGGAAACCUCUGCUGUGAAACGAGGCUAGGCCGGGCGCGGUGGUGCCGCCUGCUGUCCCCGCCGCUCCGGAGGCCCAGGCUGGAGGAUGCAAGUCCGAAGCCAGCCCAGCAACGUAGCGAGGCCCUGUCGCAAAAUAAAAUAUGAAAAGGGCUGGGAGUGUGGCUCAGUGGCUAAGCACCCCUGGUUAACCCCCCAGUACCUAGUAGUGGUGACAGUAGUAGUAUUAAUAAUCAUGAAACGAGCUAGCCUCGAGGAAACGCUGUGAGGGUAAGGUGACAGGGCGCGUGCUGAGCUCCAGCGUCCCAGCUCCUGCUGUCAGCGCUCAGUGUGGUGCAGCAGGUGCUGCAGAAGCUGAGGUUUCCCUUAGUUCUCACGUGUCUUUCAACCCCCAUGCACACACACUCUCCCUCCCUUCCUUCCCGGCUCUCCUUUCUCUCCACUUUUUAUAUAAUCCCUUAUUUGAAUAGGGUUUUGUCAUUAGCAGAGUCUCCACUGUGACAUCUGGUCCACGCUGUGAACUCCAAAGAAAACUGGGCGCAGAGAGGUUACGAAAUAUGACUUAUAGUCUUUGCAAUGAUGAGAAAGCAGAACGUCUGGCUCUUAAACCAUGCCCGUGUCUGCGCUGAGGAAUCGUGGUCCCUCUGGAUUUUACCCCGUUUCCUUCUUGUCACUCUUCCCCUCCCACUUGUCAGAGGCUGGCUUUUGUCUUUUUCCCUUCCCUGCAUGUACUCCUGUUAGUCUGUGUUCCUCUGGGUCUUCCAUCGCCCCUCCCACUGGUCUCCCUCUUCUAUAUAUUCCCUUGGACUCCUUUCCCUCUCAUUCAACGUUUUUCCUGUUAUUUCUCCAGUAACUAGCAUAACCCAGUGAUCCUUCCCAGGUUUCAGACGUCAGUGGGAAAGGGAUGAAAAUUAUCUUAACAAGACAACUUCAAGAGUCUUUUCAGGGGCUGGGGUUGUCGCUCAGUGGUAGAGCGCUUGCCUAGCAUGUGUGAGGCACUGGGUUCGAUUCUCAGCACCACAUAUAAAUAAAUGAGUGAAAUAAAGAUCCAUCAACAUCUAAAAAAAAUUUUAAAAGAGAGUCUUUUCAAAAACUGGUUUUCUAUGCUUGUAAAGAAAGUCUUGAAACUUAUUAGGAUUCAGAAAAAAUAAUAACAGGAGUUAUUAGUGUUAGUUGAAUACUUAUUAUGUACUGGCAUUGCAGCAGACCCUAUAUAUGAUCACAUUUUCCCUCCCAGCAGCUCUGUGAAGAAGGCGUUCCAUUUUCCCUCGGCCUGCUCGGGAUGCUCAUAGUGGUUCUAUGGGAAUUGAAGCCUAGGUGGCAGCUGUAGUGCUGGAUUGUGAAUCUUUCUUCUUUUCCAAUACAUGCAAUCAGUGCUGUAAAUUUGCCUCUCUGCUGAGCUUUCGUUGCAUCCCACAAAUUUUGACUUGCAGGUGCUGUGACUCAAAUGUGUCCCCCAGAUUCAUGUUUUGGAGGCUUGCUUCCCAGAGGAGAGGCAUGGGGUGAGAUGUUCUGUUCAAGUCACGGGUGGAGGCCUCAGGAGCGCACAGUGCUGUUACGAGGAGAGCCGGCCAGGUGCUGCGAGAGCACAUUGUCACCGCAGGUCUGCCUCUGGGGCCUGUCUCUUCCACCUGCACCUGUUCGUUCUUCUGCUUUCCUGCCAUGAAGUAAUGAAGCCCCAAAGUGUUCUGCACCAGAAUCAAAGUAUCAAGGUCAAACUCUGUGGCCAUGCCCUUGGCCUUCUGGCUUCUGGAAUCAUCAGCCAAAUAAACUUCUCUUCUUUAUAAGUUGCUCAGUCCAUGGUGUUCUGUUAUAGCAACAGAAAACAGUGAAGACAGUGUAGAGGGUUCAGCUUUCUGUGAUUGACUUCUAGAUGAAUUCCACUGUGGCCUGAGAGCAUACAUUGUAUGAUUUCUGCUCUUUUAACUGUGGAAAAGGGGCUGGGGCUGGGGCUCAGUGGUAGAGCGCUUGCCUAGCAUCCAUGAGGCACUGGGUUCAAUCCUCAGCCUCACAUAAAAAUAAAAUAAAGGUAUUGUGUCCAACUAUAUAUAACUAAAAAAUAAAUGUUAAAAGAUGUUUGAAUAUGGAAGAAGAGGGGCUUGAUGGGCAAGAAUGUGGUGUGUCUUGGUGAAUGUUCCAUGGGAGCUU